UAGCGAAGGGGGAGCUAGCGUUGUUCGGAAUUACUGGGCGUAAAGCGCACGGUAGGCGGAUCUUUAAGUCAGGGUGAAAUCCCGAGCUCAACCUCGGACUGCCUUGAUACUGGGAUAUCGAGUCCGGGAGAGGUGAGGUGGAACUGCGAGGUGUAGAGGUGAAAAUUCGUAGAUAUUCGCAAAGAACGACCAAGUGGCGGAAGGCGGAGCUCACCUGGGCCCCG
rnacentral:rRNA from 1 species